UCUCAGCUAUGGGUCUAUGUAUACUUCCCAUCAUUAGCCCCAGAGCUGGAGAGUUGGAGGUGGCGGGGAUUCUCAUGACCCCAUAUUCAUUGGUGUUCGAGGGCCCGCACCGGCCGAGACCUCGAGAGACCCUCCUUAACCUGCGACAGUACUUCGACACUGUGCGACAUUCAGAGAUCACAUGGCAGCCCUGGGUGUCCCUGGGUGAUGGUCUCCGACUUCAGUAUACCGGAGCAUCGGACAUCUCCUAGUAUAGGGUCCUGCUUGAAGGGCCGGUUGGCAGGGCAUGGUUCCUGGGGGAGCGCUUUCUGCGCC